UGUCGCGCGGACGCAGCCCCAUCCGUGAGGUUCUAAAAUUGGGGUUACAGCCGAGGUAUCUGGGGGCGUUCUGAGGUUCUCGGUUCCGGCGCCUGAUUUAUGCACACCUCCGUGGUAACCUUGCGAAGAACAGAAGGCUUUCUGCGCUCUGGUGCUAGGUCUUGGGGCAGCGAUGACUCACCGCAACAUCCCCUCCGCCUUUGCUCAACUUGCGGUCUCCUCCCACCCCCAAAUUAUCUCAACACCGCGCUGCGACUCCCUGGGCUUUGCUGGGGGCUAAAGGACCUCAUCCCCAUCCCAGCAGGCUAAGCCUGCACCCCCGCCCCAGUCUUCAGGCUUGCCUAGCUCCCCACCGUAACCCUCUGUUGAGCAGCGGAGACGGAUGCGACAUCAACACUGGGAUCUCUGGACCCACAAACAGCAGCGCUCGGAGGGGGCAGCGGAGCACCCCGGCAAAGUCCCGGAGGUGCAUUCAUCCAGCAAGCCUUGCCUCUGUUGAAUUCUUACUCUGUGCCUGGUGGGGAGCUCGAAGCUGAGCCCUUGGAAAGAGAAGGACCCUCCCAGAACUCCUGGCGGGUGUCUGGCCGAGAGCUGAAACGAAACAUGCCACAACUCUGUUACACUGCUCUCCAACACAGACUUCUAUAUCCCAUCAUUCUCAAGUAAGGCAUGGACCUGCUUCUUUCCCUUUGAAAGCUGAUGGCUCAGCCUCCAGGUUCCUUUGCUGGAAGGCAUGUUAUGAAAUGGGAUGCACUGUCAGAGACACAGGAACACUUGUGUGUGGAAAGAAGAUUCUAAUCAAGGAUGCGUCUUAAGCUCAUCAGAGUUUCCAUGGAGAAGGAAUUCCACACAGAAGGCCCUUCGGGAGUGAGUGUGAUGAGAAGUGCGUAUUUCCAGCUUUUCUCAAAUGGUACCCCAGCAGAUGCCUUGGCAUUAAAUCACUCUCAUCACUAAAACCAAGAGUGGUUGGACCUCAAAGAACGGGAACUUUGAAGAAGCUGAGGAAAAAGGCAGCUGGUGUUUGACUUCGUUCCACCCAGAUGUCCUGUGAGCCUCUGGUUAUUCUCUCCUGAAUGCAAGGCAAAUGUGUAGAGGUCUCGAGUCAUAGCCUAGAAAGCCAAGUUCUUGUGGGACAAUAAAAAUCCGAACCAACUGCUGGCCCUGCGGGGUCCAUCUGUUAUUGGAAUUAUGUCCCUCUUUUCAUUUUAUUUAAACUGAAGAAAUUUUCUGGCAGGGUGUCAGGUUUCAAACAGAAAUGUCAGCCAAGGACUCAUGAGACCAAGGUCUGCGCAAACUUGAAUCAAUUUAUCUUUGGGUAAAAUUCAUAUGGAAUUUAGUGGUCUGGUGGGUCCAUUUGUUAAGUGCUCCUCAUUUGCAUGUCCUGGAUUAAAUCUGGAAGGGGCUUUGUAUAAAAUCAACAUCAGAGCCAAUGUGACUUCUUCUACCCAAAAUGGGGGUACAUCUAUAGAUGAGUGUGAAGGGCAUACAUACUAAAGUGAUUUUCUUCCCCAAUAUAAAAGCAGAAAAUUACUUGGACAUGUUCUAAGCUUCAAUUCAAUCUAUGAUUCAGUUAAAACUAACCCUGCUAAUAAUAAUAAUAUUAAUAAUAAUAACAACCUUUCUUGAAUAUUUAAUAUAUGCCAGGCUCUGUGCUAUGCACCUCACAUUUAGUGAUCCAUUAAUCCUCUUGAUGAUUCCACAAAGUAGGUUACAUUAUUUGCUCCAUUUCAUAAUUGAAAAUGAAACAGAGGAGCAGAGAUUCAGAGAUUCAGAUUCAAAAACGUGUGCCCGCUUGCAAGCCAGUAAAGACCAGGAUUGAAAACUGGACAGCUUACCUUCAGAACCUCUGCUCUUAAUAUUGGUCAGGGACUGGCUGGGUAAUGAAUCCAACACGCAGCACUAUACACAAGAUGCUCAUAUAGGUGUAGUUGAAGUUUCAUACCCUGUACCAAGGUAGGUAAGCUACAUAGUAGAACUUUUUUUUUUCCCCCGUCCAGUUUCUGAUAUAAAGAGAAAGUACUGAGAUAAUUCACUGGAAAAUCUAGUCUCCAAAUGGAUUUUACUUUGUACCAAUAUGCGGGGCAGCUCAAGAUUCCCACUGUAUCCUGGGAUGUUGAAGACAUGUUUAAAUCACUUCUUUGCACUAUUAGCUUUUGUGGGGAGAUACAACCAGGGACUGUCUAAGAUUCCUACAGCCUUGAAGAUCAGAAUAAAGAACAACAUGGCAUUAAGGAGAUGCCCUGGUAGAGUUUUGGCCGGCCUCACCCACCCACUAAAUGAUUUACAACUACACACGUGCUCUUUGCAGCAGGCUUGAAUCAAACCCAAACCUAAUCAACGGAUAGGUGAAAAGAUGCCCCACUCCAGUAAUAUGGAUGGAAUACAAAUUAAAUGACUUUUUUCACAUAUUACUUUGGCAAAACUUCUAAGUUUGAUAAUAUCAGUCAUAGCAAUGAUGCGAGGAAACAGGUAGUUUCUGCUGAUGAAUGUGUGAAUUAGAAAGGCCAUUUUGGAAGUAUUAAAAAUGUACACUGCCUGUGAGUUAGCAAUUCUUUUUUUUAUAUAUCUACCAUCAAGAAACAUUUACACAUAUUCUUAAGAAUGUUCAUUGCACCAUUUGUGGAAUCAAAAAAUUAGAGAUAGCUGAAAUGUAAUAUAUCCAUACCAUAGAAUUUUACACAGCUCAUUAAAAGGUAGGUCUCUAUGUACUGACAAUAAAAAAAUGCUUCAGACAUAUCAUUAAUUUAAAAAUCCAUACAGCAACCUAUCAUCCAAUGAUAAUAACACACACACACACACACAUGCAUACACACAAACACACACACCAUGUAUAGUAAAAAGGAAUGGAGAAAUACAAACUCAGAGAUGAGAUUACCUCUAGGAAAGCUCCAGGGAUGACAGCAGAGUUAUGGGUGCCAGUCAUCAUUCAUUCAUUCAGCAAACAUUGUCUAGCAGCUUCUGUAACAGGCAGUGAUGCUGCUUUGUGAUCAAGAAAAGAGACAAAACCCUUGCAACCAUGACACCUAUAUCCUAGCAUUAUUGCUUUGUUAAUAUGUUUAUAGAAUAAGAAAGUAUUUAUAUAUUAUUUGUGUAGUUAAAAAUAAGUAAAAAAUAAAAGCAAAUUAAGAAAACGCAUUUUUUAAAUAUUAACAAAACAUCAAGUGACUAUUUAUUUUGGCUUUUGUGAGUCCUUGCAAACAGUCCUGACCACAAAUGUGGUAUUCGUGACUGUUGUGGGUACUGUAAUUCCCCAAAUGGUUCCUUUUGGAUGGUUGGCACAGACAGGGGCUCAGUGACCACCUCUUAUAGCACAAAGACUUGCACAAAGUUUGUACGUUCCUUCCAUCAACAUUUCUUGGGAGCACCAUUAGGCACAAAGUAUGUGGAAACCCCAAUCUAUUAUACAUAUAUUCACCAAAAGACAUGUACAGGAAUGGUCUUAGCAGCACGAUGCAUAACAGCCCCAAAUUGGAAGCUACCUACAUGUCUAUCAACAGUUGAAAAGAUGUAUAAUGUACGACAGUCACACAAAAGAAUACUAUACUGCAAACCAAAUGCAACAACAUUGAUGAAUCUCUCCAAUACUGUGUUGAAUGAAAGAAGCCUGGUUCAAGAAUAACCUACUAUAUAAUUCCAUUUAUGUGAUGUUCGAUAAUAGGCAAAAACAACACAUGCUACUAGAAGGCAAGGUAGUGAUUACUCCUGGGAGGAAACAGUGCCCAGAGUGUAUAUUGGAGACAUUGCCGUACGCUAGCGAUGUUCAGCUUCUUGCUCUGUGUGCUAGUGAUUGGGUAGAGCUAGUUCAUCAAAGUUUGUUGAGUUGUACAGUUACGAUUUGUGACUUUUUUGUAAGUAUG